GAUUUCUUCAAAUGACAGGACAAGGCAGAAAGAGUGAGAAAGGCCGUCUUCUCAGGUACGUCACUGCCAUUGGCCGGACUACUGAUUCUUCGUCUGAUUCCUGCAUGGCCUGGCCUGUCUCCGUAUUGCGUUGCUUUAUGGAUGCCCCAUCUCCUGAAGACUGCUUCAGAACCAUCAUCUCCAUUAGGUGGGCAAAAUGAGACAAUGGUCUGACAACCUGUAUCCUCCCAAGACUCUCUAUCUUCAAUAAUUUUAACAAAUG
rnacentral:lncRNA from 1 species